UGGCUCAGUGGUUGAGUGUCAGCCUGUAGACUGAAAGGUCCCGGGUUCGAUUCCCGG
rnacentral:tRNA from 1 species